AUGGUGAAAAUCUAAUUCUACAUUUGCUCCUUUGGGGAAAACAUACCUCCCUAAACUAAGAAUAAGGACUUGGCUAUCUUUCUUUUCUUUUGCAUUGGGACUUUUUUCCUCUUUCUUUCUUUUCUCAUUUUUUUAGAUCAGCCAUCCCUUUUAAUGCACUGAUAAUAGCAAGGAGUAUCAACUGAAGUAACUGGAGCUUUAUUGGAUAAGUAGAAUAAGACAUAAUGGCAAUGGAUGAAGGAAUGCGUACUCUUAGGGUAGGAGCAGCAUCGGUGCAUGUUUCCAGGAUAGAAACAACACAGAGUGUAGUGUGUAUAUGUGGGUGGUACUUCCAGGAAUAGAAGUAGCACAUAGUGAAUGUGGUGGAUGUAAGUGGUUGCGUACUUCUGAGGACCGAAGUAGCUAAGAUCAAUGGAUGGAGAGCACAUAAUAUUGACUUUAACUGCAUGACUAAUUCCUUAGGGUCUACACAGCUUAACUAUCCUCAAUGCUUAUAGGUUGAAAUAUAAGUACAGUUUUCCUAAUCUAGCAAGGAUGAGUAUUUGGCUAUGGUAGGAAUUUAAACUCUCGUCAUAAAGGAACUCGUCAUGUAGCAAUUAUAAUUUUCAAAAUAAAAUUCACCAGAACUCUAGUAUCUCUAGGAGCAAGUUUGAUAGCAGCUCAAGACCUUCCCAUAUCAUAUCCAUCAACUACCUAGACUUAGAUCAAGCAAUUGCUACCCACAAGUUUCAGGUUCAGAGCAAAAUCUUAAAUCUAAACAGUUGUGUCUAGAACUCAGGAGAGUACAAGGUUG
rnacentral:lncRNA from 1 species